GGGAAUGUGGCUUAGUGGUAGAGUGCUUGCCUAGUAUGCAUGAAGUCCUGGGUUCGAUUCCUCAGUACCA
rnacentral:tRNA from 1 species